rnacentral:lncRNA from 1 species
AUUUAUUCCAAGGCAACAUAAUUACAUUAGCAAAGCCUGUGCCAUCAUCAAUCAGUUUAUCUUAUAUAUUUUAUAUUCUCAAAGUUGAUUUCGUGCAUAUGGAUUUUGAUACACUUGACCAUUUUACUGACCAAAUCACCGUAAGAAAUUACCACAUGGCCUCCACUAAACACAUAUGGUCUCCACUAAACACAUAAUAAAGAGGGAGGGACUAGGAAUGAACAGGGAGAACAGGAAGAAGAGGUAGGGACUGGGAUCGGGAAGAAGAUGGAGGGAUCAAGAAUGAAUAGGGAGAAUGGGAAGAAGAGGGAGGGACUGGGAAGAAGACGGAGGGACCGAGAAUGAAGAGGG